rnacentral:rRNA from 1 species
UACAGAGGGUGCAAGCGUUAAUCGGAAUUACUGGGCGUAAAGCGUGCGCAGGCGGUUUGUUAAGUCUGUUGUGAAAUCCCCGAGCUCAACUUGGGAAUUGCAAUGGAUACUGGCAGGCUGGAGUAUGGUAGAGGAAGGUGGAAUUCCCGGUGUAGCAGUGAAAUGCGUAGAGAUCGGGAGGAACACCAGUGGCGAAGGCGGCCUUCUGGACCAAUACUGACGCUCAUGCGCGAAAGCGUGGGGAGCAAACAGG